AAAUCCUUCAGGGUGCACUAAAUGUGGUUCUGGGAAAUUCUUCUGAAAUUGGCGAUGCUCUAUUGGAAAGCACGCAGGUGAGGAAGCUCACGUUCACUGGUUCAACAGCUGUUGGGAAGAAGCUAAUGGCAGGCUCAGCGAAUACUGUUAAAAAGGUGUCAUUGGAGCUUGGCGGGAAUGCCCCUUGCAUUGUUUUUGAUGACGCAGAAAUAGAUGUGGCAGUAAAAGGAAGUCUUGCAGCAAAGUUCCGCAACAGUGGACAAACAUGUGUUUGUGCAAACAGGAUUUUGGUCCAAGAAGGUAAAGCCAUUUUUUU